AAAGACAUCUUUUUUACAAUUGAUAUAUCUACAAGGGAGAUGCUGAGAAGAUAUCAACAAAGACUGCUGGCCGUUCAAUAUGACAAAAUUUGGAAAUUAGAUGUUAAGUAUUUAUGUCAUACUGGUUAUAGUUUUACAUAAAUUUUCACAAUUAAACUAAUGCAAAAAAGAAUAAUCUUUGUUAACAUAUUCUUGAAAUUGUGAGAAAGAAUAUAAAUGCAAAAUAAAGAUAUAUAUAUUAAAAAAAAAAAAGAUUAAGUU